rnacentral:tRNA from 1 species
AGUAGCUCAGUGGUAGAGCGCUUGCCUAGGAAGCGCAAGGCCCUGGGUUCGGUCCCCAGCU